UACGAAGGGGGCUAGCGUUGUUCGGAAUUACUGGGCGUAAAGCGCGCGCAGGCGGCUAUCCAAGUCAGUGGUGAAAGCCCGGAGCUCAACUCCGGAACUGCCAUUGAAACUGUUUAGCUUGGGUAUGAGAGAGGUGAGUGGAAUUCCCAGUGUAGAGGUGAAAUUCGUAGAUAUUGGGAAGAACACCGGUGGCGAAGGCGGCUCACUGGCUCAUUACUGACGCUCAGGCGCGACAGCGUGGGGAUCAAACAGG
rnacentral:rRNA from 1 species